ensembl:lncRNA
ACUGGUUUUAAAUCAAAAUAUUAAUCAAAUAAGUUACAAUGAGCAAGCCUCUGUUGUGAGCUACUCUCAGCACUGUGAAUAACAGACCCACUGUCCUCUCAGGGGUCUUCAGGAGUUGCAGGGGUGAAGGGACACUACGGAGACACAGGCAAGCGAGGGUUGUCUGGUCGUCCAGGAGACCGAGGUCCGCCCGGGCCUUCAGGAAAGGAGGGUGAAGAUGGUGAGGACGGGGUCCAAGGUGGAACUGGAAAACAGGGUUCAAAGGGGAACCAGGGCUUUCCUGGCCAAAGAGGGAUGCCGGGCCUCAAAGGACCAAAGGCAAUUCCUUGUGAAAUUUGGCUUUUAUUCACCUACUUGUUUAUCAGGAUUUGUAGUUUAAGUGUUCUGUCUUCAUUCACAGGGACUAACGGGAAUCUCUGGACC